CAUCAGGGGAGAAGCUGGAUGAAAGUGCCCAGCCAAACUUAAGAACUGCAUCUUAUCCUCAAAUGACAGAAGGCAGCAAAAAGCAGGGGCCAGGACUCCUUCAUGGCCCCGAAUGUGGCAAUCAGACCGUCUCGCCGGAUGAACCUCACCAUCUCUGCUGGGCCAAAUCUCCGUUGGAUGUCAUUUCAGUGAGGCUCAUAAGGUUAAGAUUGCCAAAUGAGAGUGGUUGCCCGUGAUCUGCUCCCACAGUGAUUUUGCUGAGACUGGCUGCCUCUGAGAACGGAAGCCUUCCCGUAAGGAGCAGCCCUGAGGGCCACCAGCAUGUCCUGUGGCUGACCGAGCAGCUUUGAGACUGGGGACAGCUUUGAAGUCCUUGAGGACUGGAUUCAGGAAAGCCGCUGGUUGGGGAUGGUGAGUGAACCCAGAAGAAUGUAACAAG